GUCACACUAUUUUUGUCUUUGAACAGCUCAUUGACACAAUCGCCUCGGAGAUCGGCGAACUGAAACAGGAGAUGGUGCAGACAGAUGUCAGCCUGGAAAAUGGCCUGGGACCCUCCGAAGCCCACAGGUGACCGAGGCGACUAAGGCGUCAGGCGCGCGAUGGGGUGACAUGAAUCCCGUCGGCCACAAGGACUGUGGUUCCGGUCGCUCCUCAGGUUUGGGAGCUGGGGGUGUGGUGGCCACUCCAGAAGAAGCUCUGUAGGAGGUGGGAGUGGCCUAGGACCUGGUUGUCUGUGCUCACGUUAAUCCGUCUGAAGGCUCUUGAACUUUGCCUCCUCUGCGUUCCUCCUGGCACCAGAACCCGGAAACUUACAGUUCUCCCUGCCAUAUGCACCUGCUCACAGUGAUGGCACCAGUAAGGCAGCAGGGCUCGAGGUCAUGGCCAGAGCAUAAUCACUGCAAAACGGCACAGACGCUUGGUGCCUCGCAGGCCAGAGUCAUGAUCCACUUCCCUCUUUGCUCAGGAAAUGGGCUUGAGAUUGCCUGGCGCAGGGUGAGGGUGAGAUGAACAGAGCUGAUUUUGCUUGCAAGUCAUGAGCCGGGACAGGAGGAGUCCUGCAGACGCAGGUGAAUCAGGUGGCUCUGGUUGUCCAGGCAAGUUUCAAACCAGCCCAACUGGUUCCUUCCUUGGAGGAGAGAGCUGGCUGUCUCAGGGAGGCGCCCUGCAGCUGGAGGUUGGUGCUUCCACACCCGCGUCUCUGGAGAAACCGUGUUCCCCCUCAGCUGUGGAAAUGCUCUGUGCCUUCCGUUUGCGCUCCUCCUGUACAAAACGAUGGGGGUAGACCAGAUGGUCCUCCCCGGGGCAUUCUGUGAUUCCCUUGACUUCAGUGUGAUUGGCUUUGAUGGGUUCAUUUUUCCUCCCUGCAUGAACCGGACAGAUGCGCAGUGAUUUUUGAUUAGAGAUUUUUCUGCCCCGUGUUCGGAGUAGUUCCAAACUUUGUGGAACUUUUAGCCUAAGGAUUUCUCUUUACCCUUAACAUCUCUUUGAACCGGUGACUGUAAGCAUUCCAUGAUAACUCUUUUCCUUCAGAUUAAUGUCACUUAUUCUUGAAACCUAAGCUGGUUAACACUGAGUUUAUGAAUUUUAAAAGGCGUUUACUUGACUUUCGAAAAUGGGAAACAAGGGUUCCUGUUGUGGCUCAGCAGAUUAAGAAUCCAGCUAGUAUCCAUCAGGAUGUGGGUUUGAUCCCUAGCCUUGCUCAGUGGGUUAAGGAUCCGGAGUUGCUGCGAGCUGCGGUGUAUGUUGCAGAUGAGCCUUGGAUCUAGUGUUGCUGUGGCUGUGGCGUAGACUGGCAAAUGCAGCUCCGAUUUGACCACUGGCUUGGGAACUUCCAUGUGCCACAGGUGCGGCCCUUAAAAAAAUAAAAAAAAAAACCAACAGCGACAACA
rnacentral:lncRNA from 1 species